UUGUAUGAAGCAAAAAAUUGCACUGCAAUAACUCAUAAUUCUCUCAUCUUUCAUCCGUCUUAGUAAUACUGUUGUCAUGGCUCGCAAUUCUGCUCUCUAUUUCACUGUUGCACUUAUGGUGAUGUCUGUUUAUUUGGCUCAUUCUCCAAAAGUGAGAAUAGUUGCCGGGAGAGACGUGUCAACGACUAUAACAGAACUCAAAUCAAAAUUAAGUGAUCCUAUCCUAAUGGGUGGUUGCGGUGGAUACUGCAGGCAGGCAAGUGAUUGCUUUGAUAGGAGGUGUCCCCGUUGUUACUACGAUGUUAUUAAACUAACAUACGGUUGCCGCUAAAUGAUCAUUGGCCAACACAAUAUAUGAAGUCUGUUGCUUCUCAAUAUGAGUAGCUUUUUGUGUGGUUGAUCGACUUUGCUUUUGUGUGUUUUCCUUUUUACCUUUCAGUUUUCUUUUUCUAUGGAAAACAAUAAAACGACUAAGUUCUGCUUCUACCUAGACUAGAUCAGAACAAUGUCGAAUGUAACAUCAAGAUGGGUUGUGUUGGCCUACAAAUAUUACUGCUAUAUAUCUACUUUUAAUUUCAAGAUUAAGA